UGGUAGCGUAGGCUACAAAGUGAGA
rnacentral:misc_RNA from 1 species